GGCACUGCGAGGUCCGAGGGACUCAUUCUGAUGAAGGAAAGAGCAUCCCUGUGCAGCUGCGUGUCCUUCAUUUCUUUGGCUCUGAUUCCGUGUCUGGCUUCAUCUAAGUGGCCUGGUCCAUGGGCAGUGAAGAAAUGUAAAGUGCAAUAGCCCUCUGAAACAAGACAAUCCGUGUGAGAUAAGAAAGAAGAGCCCACAAGACCAAGGAUGUAUUCUCAGUUUACAGACCACUGACCAGAGGCCACUCCAGGGUGUCAGGACUAAGAGAAGUCACAAAACAGCAGAUUUCCCAAGAGCAGCAGAAAAUGAUCCAGUCACAGGUGGGUUAUCGGUUUAUCCUCUGUUUCAUGAAAAUGAUCCAGUCACAGGUGGGUUAUUGGUUUAUCCUCUGUUUCAUGAAAAUGAUCCAGUCACAGGUGGGUUAUCGGUUUAUCCUCUGUUUCGUGGGUGUUACGAGGCUUACAGAAAUCUCUGCAACACACAGAAGGGUCUAAAUACAUUUAAAUAAGAGAAAAUAUAAACUUGGGAAAGAAGAUGUCCAAAGAAGCACAAAGUAGAUUAUAGAAACAUACAAAAGUCUCAGCUGGGCAUGGUGGCUCAUGCCUGUAAUCCCAGCCCUUUGGGAGGCCAAGGAGGGCAGAUCAUUUGAGGUCAGGAGUUUGAGACCAGCCUGGCCAACAUGGCAAAACCCCGUCUCUACUGAAAAUACAAAAAUUAGCCUCCCAGCUACUCGGGAGGCUGAGGCAUGAGAAUCACUUGAACCCAGGAGAUGGAGGCUGCAGUGAGCUGAGAUCGCAUCAGUGCACUCCAGCCAGGGUGACAAAGUGAGAAAAAGAAUCAUACAAAAGUCUUAAAGUUGGAAGAGAUCAAUAAGAAAUGGGAUCCUUCCCUGUUACAGAGUUGAACUGCAAGCUUUUCUGUUAUUUCCAGAAGCCAUAACAGAAAGGGAAGUAGGAAUAGUUAACGUGGGUUCCUCUUGUCAAAAGGAAAAAGCAGACAGAUUACUCUGGAGAAGCAAAUACUUCCGAUAAUUACACAUAAAGAAAA
rnacentral:sRNA from 1 species